UGGGGAAUAUUGGACAAUGGGCGAAAGCCUGAUCCAGCCAUGCCGCGUGUGUGAAGAAGGCCUUUUGGUUGUAAAGCACUUUAAGUGGGGAGGAAAAGCUUGUGGUUAAUACCCAUAAGCCCUGACGUUACCCACAGAAUAAGCACCGGCUAACUCUGUGCCAGCAGCCGCGGUAAUACAGAGGGUGCAAGCGUUAAUCGGAAUUACUGGGCGUAAAGCGCGCGUAGGUGGUUAUUUAAGUCAGAUGUGAAAGCCCCGGGCUUAACCUGGGAACUGCAUCUGAUACUGGAUAACUAGAGUAGGUGAGAGGGGAGUAGAAUUCCAGGUGUAGCGGUGAAAUGCGUAGAGAUCUGGAGGAAUACCGAUGGCGAGGGCAGCUCCCUGGCAUCAUACUGACACUGAGGUGCGAAAGCGUGGGUAGCAAACAGGAUUAGAUACCCUGGUAGUCCACGCCGUAAACGAUGUCUACCAGUCGUUGGGUCUUUUAAAGACUUAGUGACGCAGUUAACGCAAUAAGUAGACCGCCUGGGGAGUACGGCCGCAAGGUUA
rnacentral:rRNA from 1 species